AUUGCUUCUUGGCCUUUCGGAUAAGAUCAAGUGUAGUAUCCACUCUUACCAGUUUAACAUCCAAUGUGUCCUUUACCUGAGGACAAUACAGUAAAUUGAUUCUUGAAACAAAGAAGUGGAAUAGGAGCUUGCUCCAUCCACUCCACGCAUCAACCCAGUAUUUUGGUACUCCCGGGAACAGGGCACAAAAA